AAGGAUCAUUAAUGAAUUCACUAUGGAGUUGUUGCUGGCCUCUAGGGGCAUGUGCACGCUUCACUAGUCUUUCAACCACCUGUGAACUUUUGAUAGAUCUGUGAAGUCGUCUCUCAAGUCGUCAGACUUGGUUGCUGGGAUUUAAACGUCUCGGUGUGACUACGCAGUCUAUUUACUUACACACCCCAAAUGUAUGUCUACGAAUGUCAUCUAAUGGGCCUUGUGCCUUUAAACCAUAAUACAACUUUCAACAACGGAUCUCUUGGCUCUCGCAUCGAUAAAGAACGCAGCGAAAUGCGAUAAGUAAUGUGAAUUGCAGAAUUCAGUGAAUCAUCGAAUCUUUGAACGCACCUUGCGCCCCUUGGUAUUCCGAGGGGCAUGCCUGUUUGAGUGUCAUUAAAUUCUCAAACUCACUUUGGUUUCUUUCCAAUUGUGAUGUUUGGAUUGUUGGGGGCUGCUGGCCUUGACAGGUCGGCUCCUCUUAAAUGCAUUAGCAGGACUUCUCAUUGCCUCUGCGCAUGAUGUGAUAAUUAUCACUCAUCAAUAGCACGCAUGAAUAGAGUCCAGCUCUCUAAUCGUCCGCAAGGACAAUUUGACAAUUUGACCUCAAAUCAGGUAGGACUACCCGCUGAACUUAA
rnacentral:rRNA from 1 species